CUCAGCUCUACAAAUUCAAGUUUCUGGCACUGAAGGGUUCAUCCUUCUACAUUUUCAGCACUCCACCGGUAAGCACACUAGACUGGGUACGAGCUGAAAAAAUCUAUAACCUCUGUGAGGUUCUGUUUAAAAUUCACAAGCUCUGGCUUGCUGAUGAUUGCUGGCUACAAGCAAACUUGUAUUUAGGUAUUCAUCAAGACUAUGAUCUUGAAGACCAGAGGCCAUACUGUUUCAGUGUUAUGGUUGGACAUGGCAAGAGUCAUUAUUUCAAUGUAGAGCUUGGCAGUGAGUUGGCAGUGUGGGAGAAAUCUUUUCAAAGAGCAAUUUUCUUGGAAGUUCAAAGAACAGGGGUAAGUAAUGAAUAAUUUGAAUCCUGGAGCCAUUUCAUCAGUAAAAUAUUCUGUAACAAAUUUUAGCAAAGUUACUGCAUAUGUUUAAUAAUUGUUUCAGAUUAAUAUGCACUGUGAGUAAAGAUCUGAGUAUACUUUAAUACACCAAAGGCUUCUGAAAGCUUCAUCAUCACAUAAAUAUUUAUCUGUCUAUGACUGUGUGAUAACACUGUAUGAGUAUAUUAUGACAGUUUGAAAAUUAGAAGUAGUAAUGUAUAAAUUUACUUUGAUUACAAUAAACUGGAAAUUGAUACAUUCUGC